GGUCCCUUGGCCUAGUUGGUUAAGGCGUGGUGCUAAUAAUAAGGCUGGAAGCUAUGCCGAAAUUGUAACGCCAAGAUCAGCAGUUCGAUCCUGCUAGGGACCA
rnacentral:tRNA from 1 species